rnacentral:rRNA from 1 species
CGGGGGGGGCAAGCGUUGUUCGGAAUUACUGGGCGUAAAGGGCUCGUAGGCGGCCAACUAAGUCCGACGUGAAAUCCCCAGGCUUAACCUGGGAACUGCGUCGGAUACUGGAUGGCUUGAAUUCGGGAGAGGGAUGCAGAAUUCCAGGUGUAGCGGUGAAAUGCGUAGAUAUCUGGAGGAAUACCGGUGGCGAAGGCGGCAUCCUGGACCGACAUUGACGCUGAGUGAGCGAAAGCUAGGGGAGCAAACGGGAUUAGAUACCCCGGUAGUUCUAGCCCUAAACGAUGAAUGCUUGGUGUGGCGGGUAUCGAUCCCUGCCGUGCCGAAGCUAACGCAUUAAGCAUUCCGCCUGGGGAGUACGGUCGCAAGGCUG